AUAUUUUGCUCUUGCUUCCACCGGUACAACAAUUCCCUUAGCUCUAAGUAGGCUGGAAGACUGUGAUAUUACUCAUUUUCACCUCCCGCUUCAAGACAGCCCAAUCUGUGGAUGAAGGAUAGUUGGGUGACAGAGACAGCACAGGUACGCCAUCUCCACAGAGGUUCCCAGUGGCAUGAAGAGUUUUCUUCAGGAUGCAUGAUCAGAUGAACUUAAUUAUGCAUCUUCAUCUGGCUAAUGUCUUGCAACAGAUGGAUUUCAAGGGAAAGAUUCUCUCAAAAUAAUCCAACAGACAUCAGAAAGAGGAUUGUCAUAAAGUUUUGAGACAAGUUAAGUAAUGGACUACAUUUUUGCUUUCUGCAAUAUUUGAACAGGAAGAAACUCCAUCUCCCUAGAACUGUAGGAAAAAAACCCUCUGAACACGCCUCAAGAGCUAAAAUUCCAGUCUUCCUUCAUAGUUUCUUGGAGGUCUUUUCUGUCUAAUUUCAUAUUUUGUAAUCUGUUUUGAGUCUCAGUGAAAAAGGCGGGCUAUAAAUGAAGUUAUAUUAUUAUCAUGAUCAAAUUCUUUUGUGAUAGCACCACUACUAUUGAAGAUGUAGCUGUCUCUAUCAAUGUCUAAUUGCAUUUUUAGAAAAGGUUCUUAAGCGUAAAGAUGUGUUACUGACAGUCAGGAUCAAGUUAAUUUAUGCAUAGUUGCAGGUAGUAUGGGAAGUACAAGUACUAUUAUUAUAUACUAUUGUGUACUAGUACUGUUAUUAUGUUUGGAUGUGAAAGUUAGUGAGGGAAGCUGAUAGGAAGAAAGUUGAUUCCUUUGGAAUGUGGUGCUGGAUGAGAGUUUUAAGGAUACCAUGGACCA